AUUGAACGCUAGCGGAAUGCUUACACAUGCAAGUCGAACGGCAGCACGGGGCAACCUGGUGGCGAGUGGCGAACGGGUGAGUAAUACAUCGGAACGCGCCCAAUCGUGGGGGAUAACGUAGCGAAAGUUACGCUAAUACCGCAUACGAUCUACGGAUGAAGGCGGGGGAUCGCAAGACCUCGCGCGAGUGGAGCGGCCGAUGUCAGAUUAGGUAGUUGGUGGGGUAAAGGCUCACCAAGCCAACGAUCUGUAGCUGGUCUGAGAGGACGACCAGCCACACUGGAACUGAGACACGGUCCAGACUCCUACGGGAGGCAGCAGUGGGGAAUUUUGGACAAUGGGCGCAAGCCUGAUCCAGCCAUUCCGCGUGCAGGAUGAAGGCCUUCGGGUUGUAAACUGCUUUUGUACGGAACGAAACGGCGAGCUCUAAUACAGUUUGCUAAUGACGGUACCGUAAGAAUAAGCACCGGCUAACUACGUG
rnacentral:rRNA from 1 species